rnacentral:rRNA from 1 species
UACGAAGGGGGCUAGCGUUGCUCGGAAUCACUGGGCGUAAAGGGUGCGUAGGCGGGUUUUUAAGUCAGAGGUGAAAUCCUGGAGCUCAACUCCAGAACUGCCUUUGAUACUGGAAGUCUUGAGUAUGGGAGAGGUGAGUGGAACUGCGAGUGUAGAGGUGAAAUUCGUAGAUAUUCGCAAGAACACCAGUGGCGAAGGCGGCUCACUGGCCCGAUACUGACGCUGAGGCACGAAAGCGUGGGGAGCAAACAGG